AAAUUCACUUGCCAGUGAUGAAAAAAAAGAUAUAUAUAUAUAUAAAAAAUAAAUAACAAUGAAUGGGGGAUUUUUUUUGUUUUGUUUCUGUCUUUGUUUUUGUUUUGUUUUU
rnacentral:ribozyme from 1 species